rnacentral:rRNA from 1 species
GUGUCAGCAGCCGCGGUAAUACGAAGGUGGCAAGCGUUGUUCGGAUUCACUGGGCGUACAGGGUGUGUAGGCGGUUUGGUAAGCCCUCUGUGAAAGCUUCGGGCCUAACCCGGAAAGCGCAGGGGGGACUGCCAGGCUAGAGGACGGGAGAGGAGCGCGGAAUUCCCGGUGUAGCGGUGAAAUGCGUAGAGAUCGGGAGGAAGGCCGGUGGCGAAGGCGGCGCUCUGGAACGUACCUGACGCUGAGACACGAAAGCGUGGGGAGCAAACAGGAUUAGAUACCCUGGUAGUCCACGCCUUAAACGAUGGAUACUAAGUGUCGGCGGUUUACCGCCGGUGCCGCAGCUAACGCAGUAAGUAUCCCGCCUGGGAAGUACGGCCGCAAGGUUGAA